rnacentral:lncRNA from 1 species
CUCCGCCCCCCGCCGCGCGGAAAUGGCGGCGGCCCAGCCCCGGCAGAGAGCUGCCCGCUGGGACGGGGCGCUGGGGCGGUGCGGUGCAGCCGGGUACCCGGGCUGCGCCGCUAAACCUGGGGGUUGGCGUUUCUCCGCUGGUUUGCACAGAGGUUCCUCUUCUGACUUAAGCGGAUAGGUGGGCUUGGGUGGAAGAAGACAGGUGGCGUGGGCCUUGCCCCACAAACGGAGUGUGGUUAUCUCCCUCAUUCCCUUUUUCCUCGCGUUUUCUGCCUUCAGUGUCGGCACCGACCCUGACGGACUUGGGGGGCGGGGGGAGCGGGCCCGGCGUGGAGCUAAGAUGGCCGCCGGGGCGCGGGGCUCGACCUUCUGGAACCUUCUUCUCUCAGCGCGGCCGCGGGGCGGUGAAGACGCGCCGGGAAAAGCAGCUACAGUUUUUCUGGACUUCAGCAGCAUGGACAGCUGAGCAUCCAAAAAGUACCUAUUAGUUGCAGGUCCGAUUACCUAGUUUCCCUUAAUGAGGGCCCAGCACACAGCAGGAUGAGACCUCACCCUGUACUGAUGUGAUGAGGACAUCUGAAAUGCAUCCAGAAAGCAACUUGGAUGCCAUGAACAUGCAAAACAUCUAGACUACAGCACAAAUCUACCUCUGCUAUAAAAAACAAGGGUAUGCUGUGGACUGCAGAAGGGCCUGAUCCAAGGAGCACUGAAGAUUGUGGAAUGAUACAUAUUACUUCCAGUGGGACUUGAUUCAAGUCUGUGGUGAGUUUUAAGAUGAAAAGACAUUGCGGUGGCCAAGAAUGACCUUUAAGAGAAGAGAAUCCCAGCAGAAUAAAUAACUUCACUUAUUGGUUUCA